CCAGAAGAUAUUCCACAUUAUGUACUUCAUGGGUGCCAAUAAUGAGCUGACUUCCACUAGGGACGAUGCAGUUGCCUCAGUCACUGGCUGCCCCUCUCCAGUGACUGCACUCCCUUUCCCAACCUCUGCCUCUUCAAACAACCAACAGCUCGAUGCCCAGCCUGGCCACAGUGGAAGCAAUGAGACCAGGACAUAUUUCCCUAUUGUACACAUUGUGCACAAUGGCCUUUGGAAUCAGCCCUGUCCGUAUGUGAACUCACAAGUGGGAGUUGCGUAUCUUGGGGAAUGUCACUAUCUGGUUUUGUGCAUUGCAACAACGUCAUGACUGCCGAGAGAGAAAGAGAGGGAGGACGUCUUGUUGGACAUGUGGAGAUGUUGAAGUGAGCUUCACAAAAUGUUAAU